rnacentral:rRNA from 1 species
AUAUAGGANUAAGUACAANGUCGUAAGUCANGACUCAGUAGGCUGUACCUGCUGGUCGGAUCAUUA